rnacentral:rRNA from 1 species
AACGUAGGACGCAAGCGUUAUCCGGAGUUACUGGGCGUAAAGCGCGGGCAGGCGGCUCGAAACGUCUGAUGUGAAAUCUCCUCGCUCAACGGGGAGAGGCCAUUGGAAACGGUCGGGCUGGAGGGCAGUAGAGGCAGGCGGAAUUCCGGGUGGAGUGGUGAAAUGCGUAGAGAUCCGGAGGAACACCAGAGGCGAAGGCGGCCUGCUGGGCUGCACCUGGACGCUGAACCGCGAAAGCCAGGGGAGCGAACGGG